AAAGUUGUUGCAGUUAAAAAGCUCGUAGUUGGAUUUCGGGACGGCACGGUCGGUCCGCCGCAAGGUGUGUCACUGGCCGGGCUGUUCUUCCUCGCAAAGACUGCGUGUGCUCUUAGCUGAGUGUGCGCAGGACUUGCGACGUUUACUUUGAAAAAAUUAGAGUGUUCAAAGCAGGCCAUCGCUUGAAUACAUAAGCAUGGAAUAAUGGAAUAGGACUUUGGUUCUAUUUUGUUGGUUUCUGGAACCGAAGUAAUGAUUAAGAGGGACAGUUGGGGGCAUUCGUAUUUCGUUGUCAGAGGUGAAAUUCUUGGAUUUACGAAAGACGAACUACCGCGAAAGCAUUUGCCAAGAAUGUUUUCAUUAAUCAAGAACGAAAGUUAGAGGAUCGAAGACGAUCAGAUACCGUCCUAGUUCUAACCAUAAACGAUGCCGACUAGGGAUCAGAGAGUGUUAUUGGAUGACCUCUUUGGCACCUUAUGGGAAACCAAAGUUUUUGGGUUCCG
rnacentral:rRNA from 1 species